rnacentral:misc_RNA from 1 species
GAAAUGCGAUAAGUAAAGUGAAUUGCAGAAUUCCGUGAAUCAUCGAAUCUUUGAACGCACAUUGCGCCCUCUGGCAUUCCGGGGGGCAUGCCUGUCCGAGCGUCAUUACGCACCCUCAAGCCCGGCUUGUGUGAUGGGCCCCGGCGUCUCGUUCGCGAGACGGGCCCGAAAGGCAGCGGCGGCGUCGACCCGAUGAGCCCGAGCGUAUGGGGACUUCUGUCACACGUUCGCGGUGCGGACCGGCGCCUGCUUGACUUUUCUGAUUAUCCAGGUUGACCUCGGAUCAGGUAGGGAUACCCGCUGAACUUAAGC